ensembl:lncRNA PVT1 Pvt1 oncogene
GAGGUAAAGUUCCGCUUUUAUGAAAUCAAGGGUAGGCACCAUCAGCAUGACCUAUCACUGAUGUUGACUUUGAUUACCUGGCUGCUGUAGUGGUUGUCAGGUUUGUCCACUUUAAAGAUACUUUUGUGUUUUUGUUCUUUCUUAACUCCCUUUUUAUAUUAAACUCUUCAGAAGGAAGUCACUGUGCAUAGCCAUCCCCUAAGAAGAGGGCAUUCCUGCUCUUCCUUCUCCAUGGCUAGAGGAUCUACAUGAACUAUUUAGAUUUUUUCUACCUGGGAGAUUUAACUCCUCUCUCCUAUUUAUUUAUUUAUAUAUCAGCAUGGACUUGCAGGCCAACAGAGAUUUUGAGAAACACAUUGAAGGAUCUGUUAACACUUGAUAUACCCAAUAAAAGCAGUGGUUGUGCCAGUGCUGAUCUGUCUUGAUGUGAAUGUGAACAAUGGGAACCUGAGCUGAGCAGUUAAUGCUAGGGUGACAGAAACUGGACCUCUCCCAAGACAUGUGACAGAGUAAUACAGCAGCCAACUUCUUCGCCAAAUUAAAGUUUUACAAGAUUUAACCUGUCAUCAAGACCUGGGAUUUUGGUGGACAACCAUGUCGUGAUGAUGAUGAUGACGACGAUGACAGCGAUGGCGGUGGUGAAAGAGGAAGACAUCCCUUCAUUUCAUGUAGCAAUCUGCUUCUUGCUGGGAUUUCAAAUCCAUUUUCAUUGUUGAUCCUGAGAACAAGCCUUGGAGGCGGAAUCAUUUUGAAAUCCCAGGAAACCGGGCCUUAAGAGACGGCUGAAGACCCGAGCAGUCAUUCGGUGGAGUCUGUGAGGCCCAGAGCUGAGGAGGAGGACAUGGGUGUAGAAACGGUCGCAGCCCACACUGCUGUGCCUACAGCUCUGGAUCCUGACUGUAAGGACAGAAUAACGGGCUCCCAGAUUCACAAGCCCCACCAAGAGGAUCACCCCAGGAACGCUUGGAGGCUGAGGAGUUCACUGAGGCUACUGCAUCUUGAGACUCAGGAUGAAGACCCAGCUUGGGGCUGUCAAAGGUUUUUUGCAUGUCUGACACCCAUGACUCCACCUGGACCUUAUGGCUCCACCCAGAAGCAAUUCAGCCCAACAGGAGGACAGCUUCAACCCAUUACGAUUUCAUCUCUGCCCCAACCACUCAGCAGCAAGCACCUGUUACCUGUCCACCCCCACCCCUUCCCCCAAACUGCCUUUGAAAAAUCCCUAACCUAUGAGCUUUGAAUAAGAUGAGUACGAACUUCAUCGCCCACGUGGCGUGGCCGGCCUCGUGUCUAUUAAAUUCUUUUUCUACUACA